CGCGAAAACUUUACAAUGCGGGAAACCGUGAUAAGGGGACACCGAGUGCCAGCAUCAUAUGCUGGCUGUCCAGGUGUGUAAAAUACACCUGUUAGCAAGGGCCGGGCAAGACCGGUGCCAGCCGCCGCGGUAACACCGGCGGCCCGAGUGGUGAUCGUGAUUAUUGGGUCUAAAGGGUCCGUAGCCGGUUUGGUCAGUCCUCCGGGAAAUCUGAUAGCUCAACUAUUAGGCUUUCGGGGGAUACUGCCAGACUUGGAACCGGGAGAGGUAAGAGGUACUACAGGGGUAGGAGUGAAAUCCUGUAAUCCA
rnacentral:rRNA from 1 species